rnacentral:rRNA from 1 species
CAGUCGCCGCGGGAAUACAGAGGGUGCGAGCGUUAAUCGGAUUUACUGGGCGUAAAGCGUGCGCAGGCGGUUUUGUAAGACAGAGGUGAAAUCCCCGGGCUCAACCUGGGAACUGCCUUUGUGACUGCAAGGCUAGAGUACGGCAGAGGGGGAUGGAAUUCCGCGUGUAGCAGUGAAAUGCGUAGAUAUGCGGAGGAACACCGAUGGCGAAGGCAAUCCCCUGGGCCUGUACUGACGCUCAUGCACGAAAGCGUGGGGAGCAAACAGGAUUAGAUACCCCUGUAGUCCCUGUCUCUUAUAC